UACGUAGGGGGCAAGCGUUGUCCGGAAUUAUUGGGCGUAAAGCGCGCGCAGGCGGCGGUUUAAGUCUCGUGUUUAAGCCCGGAGCUCAACUCCGGAUCGCACGGGAAACUGGAUCGCUUGAGUGCAGGAGAGGAGAGCGGAAUUCCACGUGUAGCGGUGAAAUGCGUAGAUAUGUGGAGGAACACCAGUGGCGAAGGCGGCUCUCUGGCCUGUAACUGACGCUGAGGCGCGAAAGCGUGGGGAGCGAACAGG
rnacentral:rRNA from 1 species